AAAGAACAGAGGUUCUGACACCCGCCUGCCACCUCUUGCUUGGGAGGCCCCUGAGGUUGGCUCUGUCACAGUCUCGGUGCAUUCUAGACAGCCUGUGCUCUGCCCAAGUCCCCAUCAGGAUGCCUAGCCCAGGAAGACUAAAGUCAGCUCGGCCCCUCCACCAUGCAGGGCAAAGUCGACAGAGGCGUGCCUUCUACUAGAGAACUUUGGCCACAGCUAGUAGACAGCUCAGACAUGACUACGACCAGGGACAGUGAGCAGGUAAGGGAACACUCCUGGCUUGGGGGAGGGGGGUUUUGGGGGGGAAGACCUAAUGAGAGUUAGAAAAGAAUAGGUCAUUUUUAUCCCAGAAUUCAGCAGCCCAGACCUCAGACCUCCUCCCCCAGACCCCAGUUCCUUUACCUCCUCCCUCGAACCCGGGGAAUCCAGUUCCUUGACCUCCUCCCUCAGACCCUGGAAACCCAGUCCCUUGACCUCCUCCCUCAGACCCAGGAACCUGGUUCCUUGACCUCCUCCCUCAGACCCAGGAGUAAUGGCCCAUGUAUUUCUCUAUCAAACCAGAGCUCCAGAUUCCAGCCCUCCUCCUUCCUACCCAGUGAUCCUCCUUAACCUUCCUCCCUUAAACCCACAACUACAAGACUCCAACCCUCUUCCCUCAGACAGAGGAGUCCUAAUGCUUACUCUUUAGGAAUACCAGUUAGCUGGCUGUCCCUGCUACAGCCACCCCAGCCACACAGCUGGAAUACUUUCACACUCGGGAGUUUUCACUGUCAGCGGCUGAAGGACAGCCACGUGCUAGCUCACUGCACAUACUGUACACAUCCGUGCUGACCUUCCCCGGGGUUAGCAUGGAAUUCAGGACUGGUUGUGUACAGGAUGGUGGCCCCUUCCUGAUAUUUGGGCAUCAUGCUUUUCUCUGCAGACCAAGGAGAGGCAGGCAGCUGAGUCCCAAGUUUGAGGAAGACAGGAUAACAGUAUUUUCCUGCUGGGAGAGCUGAAAAGUGGCCAGUGAGGGGAGAGUCUUGCAGAAGUCAUUGAUCAAUGGGCUUAAAGGCUUGUUCAGGAAUUCACCAGCCUGGAGUAAGAACUUCUGGUAAUCAGAUACAAGGUAACAGCAAACAUUUUUUCCCAAGGUUGUGACCAGCUGUUUGCACCCUUAUUUAUCAUGUUCUCUUCAGAUCACAGACUCUCAAGCAAGGCGGUGGUGGCCCAGGAGUUUAAUUCCAGGACUCAGAAGGCUGAAGCUGCAGAGCUGUGAGUUCGAGGCCAACCUGGUCUACAGAGCAACAGCUCUCCUCCAUGGCUCCCCACUUCUGACCUCGCUCGCGGUUCAGAUACCUCUCGCACCCGACUCGUGUCUACCCAUUUUGCCGCUCGUUA
rnacentral:sRNA from 1 species